rnacentral:rRNA from 1 species
AUUGAACGCUGGCGGCAGGCCUAACACAUGCAAGUCGAACGGUAACAGGAAGAAGCUUGCUUCUUUGCUGACGAGUGGCGGACGGGUGAGUAAUGUCUGGGAAACUGCCUGAUGGAGGGGGAUAACUACUGGAAACGGUAGCUAAUACCGCAUAACGUCGCAAGACCAAAGAGGGGGACCUUCGGGCCUCUUGCCAUCGGAUGUGCCAGAUGGGAUUAGCUAGUAGGUGGGGUAACGGCUCACCUAGGCGACGAUCCCUAGCUGGUCUGAGAGGAUGACCAGCCACACUGGAACUGAGACACGGUCCAGACUCCUACGGGAGGCAGCAGUGGGGAAUAUUGCACAAUGGGCGCAAGCCUGAUGCAGCCAUGCCGCGUGUAUGAAGAAGGCCUUCGGGUUGUAAAGUACUUUCAGCGGGGAGGAAGGGAGUAAAGUUAAUACCUUUGCUCAUUGACGUUACCCGCAGAAGAAGCACCGGCUAACUCCGUG